UGCCUCAUACUCGGGAAUAGCCUUGCGAAAGUAAGAUUAAUGCCCGGUGUUUUCAGAGUCCCGCAUGAGGCUUUGAACAAAGAUUUAUCGGUAUGAGAUGGCGAUGCGUCCCAUUAGCUUGUUGGCGGGGUAACGGCCCACCAAGGCAUCGAUGGGUAGGGGUUCUGAGAGGAAGGUCCCCCACAUUGGAACUGAGACACGGUCCAAACUCCUACGGGAGGCAGCAGUGAGGAAUAUUGGUCAAUGGGCGGAAGCCUGAACCAGCCAAGUAGCGUGCAGGAAGACGGCCCUCCGGGUUGUAAACUGCUUUUAGUUGGGAACAAAACGGGGCUCGUGAGCCCCCUUGCAUGUACCAUCAGAAAAAGGACCGGCUAAUUCCGUGCCAGCAGCCGCGGUAAUACGGAAGGUCCGGGCGUUAUCCGGAUUUAUUGGGUUUAAAGGGAGCGCAGGCGGACCUUUAAGUCAGCUGUGAAAUACGGCGGCUCAACCGUCGAACUGCAGUUGAUACUGGAGGUCUUGAGUGCACACAGGGAUGCUGGAAUUCAUGGUGUAGCGGUGAAAUGCUCAGAUAUCAUGAAGAACUCCGAUCGCGAAGGCAGGCAUCCGGGGUGCAACUGACGCUGAGGCUCGAAAGUGCGGGUAUCAAACAGGAUUAGAUACCCUGGUAGUCCGCACAGUAAACGAUGAAUACUCGCGGUUUGCGAUACAAUGUAAGCCGCCAAGCGAAAGCGUUAAGUAUUCCACCUGGGGAGUACGCCGGCAACGGUGCAACUCAAAGGAAUUGACGG
rnacentral:rRNA from 2 species